CCUUUUGGGAGAUAAGAUAGCUCUCAAGUAUCAUUUCGUUCAAUGGCUUCAAUUUCAUCAUGCAUCUCCUUUCGUCACUUUGAUUCUUUGACAGUACUUUCCAAAAUUGUAGGAUCACAGUUUAAAAAUAAAGCAAAGUGGAUGAUUGGAUCUUUAGUUUGGUCAAUCCCGGUUACCUCAUAGUCUAAUAUCAUAUCAGCCUCUUUCAAACAUGGUGAAGAUGUGAUUCAACUACUGCAUUAGUAGCUUCUGCUGCUGUUGUUA
rnacentral:lncRNA from 1 species